ACCAAAGAUAUCAUAUUGUAGGAUCCCUUGGAUGAAAACAUUUAUAUAAAAAAGUAUAUAUAUUAUUGAAUUAAUAAAGCUGCAUACCAACAUGGACUGUGUUUCGAAUAACCAUACUAACAUACUGUAUACUACAUACUUAAUGAGUAUACACUACAUACAAUAUACUAUUAGUUCAUUUUAGUAUACUGUAAAUGAACUGUAUCAUUUCAGUUGAGCAUACUAGAGCUUUGCCUGUCUACCGGAAGUUGAUGCUGUUGCUAUGCAACCUCUUGCUAGCUUGUUAGCACAACAAAUGACUAGUAAAAAAAAUGUACGAUUUCGGGUGUGUUCGUAAAUUCAAUCUGCAGCAACAGAGUGUACUCUGCGCGUUCCUAAAUCCAGAGCGUUGUCAGAUUGUAAAUUCAAAACAUUAGGUAACUAGCUAACAUACAGGCACAUACUACUGUAAUGCUAUGCGUUUCGUAAGAGUAGCGUAGCUAACAAAUUGUCAGCCAACAUAACAUGUAACGUAACUUAUUUAAAAAGUCAUGACUUUAUUACAUUGCUAAAUAUUUUAGUAACAUUUGCCAUUAGUUAGUUCAAUGAAUUUGUAUUUGCUCUCGUCGCUCUUUGGCUGCAUAUUUUCCGCCAUUUUCUUCAAAUCUGAAAACGUUGUGAAGCCACACCCAUUUGCUUAAGAAUUGCAGCCCUAAAAGUACGGAAAUAGUGUUCUCUGCGUGUAUAGUUAGUAUUUUGGUGAAUUUAGUACGGCAUCCGGAAACUUUUGCCAUAAUAACUAUAUCCAUACUAUGACCAAUAAGCAUACUAUAUAUUCAAUUCAUGUCACAAAUUGUGUGGUUAGUAUGAGUAUUCAAACACAGCUAUUGUAUUUUUUGUUUUGUUUUCUUGAGUAAGGCAGGUGUUUCAGCCUAGCUCAGUGCUUUCUGUGGUGGUGGGGCAAGCCAGCAGAACAUAUGGAGCGUUACGCCGUGAUUGGCUCAGUGUUCUGUCACUAAUGGAGACUUUACAUCACUGCCAAGUGUAAGAGGAGACCUUGAACAUUUUAGCUCUUCGGCUACCAUAGAAGUGCCCGUCCAAGAAGGCUCAAGCUCAUUGGCCACAGAGAAAAUGACAGAAAACCACGUUAUACAGAAGCUUUGAUUGGACUGAUCAUGUCAACAUCAUACUUUCACAAUUUUAGCUAGCAUUCAUCAUCAUGAAUCAAAUUGACAAUCUACUGGCAAAUCAUUUUUAAUCCUUGUCAUAUGAAGAGAAAUAAUGAAGAGAAAUUAUAGAUAAAACGUAUCAGUGCUCAUAGGCCAUUGGACAUAAACAUUACACAACAAGUUGGAAAUCGCAAAUUCAGCGAGUGGUUUGGAAGGAAUCAGUGACAGUGGCUGUGUGGUCCUAAAUCUGGGAUUAAGGAGCUUUUUUCUAAAUUGAAAAUGAUAAACAUUCAACAUUGGCCAUGCUGUCAAAUAAGCAUGAUCUGUGCCACGCUCGAAACUGUUAAUUCGGAGGCCCGCAGCGCCACCUUCUUGUUCAAGUGAACACAGCAUGAACAAUUUUGCAGACGACACUACAGUGGUAGGCUUGAUUACCAACAAUGACGAGACGGCCUACAGGGAGGAGGUGAAUGCCCUCUGAGUGUGGUGUCAGGAAAAUAACCUCAUACUCAAUGUCAAAAAACAAAGGAGAUGAUCAUGGACUUCAGGAAACAGAAGAGGGAGCACCCCCCUAUCCACAUCGACGGGACAGUACUGGAGAGGGUGGAAAGUUUUAAGUUCCUCUGCGUACACAUCACAGACAAACUGAAAUGGUCCACCCACACAGACAGCGUGGUGAAGAAGGCCUCUUCUUCAGGAGGCUGAAGAAAUUUGUCUUGUCACCAAAAUCACUCACAAACUUUUACAGAUGCACAAUCGAGCGCAUCCUGUCGGGGUGUAUCACCGCCUGGUACAGCAACUGCUCCGCCCACAACCGUAAGGCUCUCCAGAAGGUAGUGAGGUCUGCACAACGCAUCACCGGGGGCAAACUACCUGCCCUCCAGGACACCUACACCAACCGAUGUCACAAGAAGGCCAAAAAGAUCAUCAAGGACAACAACCAUCCGAGCCACUGCCUGUUCACCCCGCUAUCGUCCAGAAGGCGAGAGCCCUAGGACCAUGCCUCAGGACUACCUGGCAUGAUGACUCCUUGCUGUCCCCAGUCCACCUAGCCGUGCUGCUGCUCCAGUUUCAACUGUUCUGCCUGUGGCUAUGGAACCCUGACCUGUUCACCGGACGUGCUACCUGUCCCAGACCUGCUGUUUUCAACUCUCCAGAGACAGCAGGAGUGGUAGAGAUAGCCUUAAUGAUCGCCUAUGAAAAGCCAACUGACAUUUACUCCUGAGGUGCUGACUUGCUGCAUCCUCGACAACCACUGGGAUUAUUAUUAUUUGACCAUGCUGGUCAUUUAUGAACAUUUGAACAUCUUGGCCAUAUUCUGUUAAUAAUCUCCACCCGACACAGCCAGAAGAGGACUGGCCACCCCUCAUAGCCUGGUUCCUCUCUAGGUUUCUUCCUAGGUUUUGGCCUUUCUAGGGAGUUUUUCCUUCCCUCCGUGCUUCUACACCUGCAUUGCUUGCUGUUUGGGGUUUUAGGCUGGGUUUCUGUACAGCACUUUGAGAUAUCAGCUGAUGUAAGAAGGGCUAUAUAAAUACAUUUGAUCUACUGCAUCUUGCCAUCUUGAUGUAAUACAUGUAUCACUAGCCACUUUAAACAAUGGCACGUUAUAUAACAUACCCUACAUUACUCAUCUCAUAUGCAUAUCUGCACAUCUCAUCUCAUAUGCAUAUACUGUACUCUAUACCAUCCACUGCAUCUUGCCUAUGCCGUUCGGCCAUCACUCAUUCAUAUAUAUUUAUGUACAUAUUCUUAUUAAUUCCUUUACACUUGUGUGUAUAAGGUAGUUGUUGUGAAAUUGUUAGGUUAGAUAUUAGAUAUUACUGCCUGGUCGGAACUAGAAGCACAAGCAUUUCUCUACACUCACAUUAACAUCUGCCAUGUGUAUGUGACAAAUAAAAUUAGAUUUGAUUUGACUUGGUGUACAGGAAGAACUCUGUAAGAACGGCCCAUGUUCUGAAUUCUGUCGCUGUACAUUUCAAAAGUGCUAAACAACUAGUUAUAUUGACUAAUGUUAUGUCCGUCCUAGCUCGCUCUUUAAUGGCUUAAUCGAAAUGACGGAUUGCCUCUUAUCCGCUUGUCGUCCCCUUAUGCCAUAGUUUGUACAUCUCAGUUGUCAGUAGAUACCACAUUUGUUUAAGCAAGUCAGCCAUAUCAGCUAUGUUUUUUUUAAAGGCAGUAAAUGGGGCUGAAUGAACUGUUUUGCUGCCAGACAAGGCUCCGCUGAUAACCAGGUAUAGCAGUGGUCAGGUGUUGGGACUCUGCUGUU